CAAUAGCGUAUAUUUAAGUUGUUGCAGUUAAAAAGCUCGUAGUUGGAUUUCUGCUGAGAACGACCGGUCCGCCCUCUGGGUGUGUAUCUGGCUCUUUCUUGGCAUCUUCUUGGUGAACGUUGCUGCACUUGACUGUGUGGAGCGCUACCCAGGACUUUUACUUUGAGGAAAUUAGAGUGUUUCAAGCAGGCAUACGCCUUGAAUACAUUAGCAUGGAAUAAUAAGAUAGGACCUCGGUUCUAUUUUGUUGGUUUCUAGAGCUGAGGUAAUGAUUAAUAGGGAUAGUUGGGGGCAUUCGUAUUUAACUGUCAGAGGUGAAAUUCUUGGAUUUGUUAAAGACGGACUACUGCGAANGNAUUUGGNAAGGAUGUUUNCAUUG
rnacentral:rRNA from 1 species